GUAAUCGCCAAUUCUCCAACAUAAUAUCGAAACAUAUCACCACGUCACGAUCAUCAAACAAACACUAACAACGAAGAUUCAAACCAAACACACAACAAAUAAUCAUCCACACCCACAACAUCACAAAAAAAAAGAUUAAAAUAAAAUAAAGACUCGGUAGAAGAAAUGGACCUCGAUGAAAUUGAUUCUUGUCGAUAAUAAAGAAAUCCGAAGACCAAAAUACUCGACCGAACCUCGAUUGCGAUGAAUCCAACUCGAUAUAGGGAAAAACAGGAAACAGAUGAACCAAGACUCCAACAAACAAACAGGAACCCAAAACCUAACGCGGAUCGAACUUCGGUGAGCUCCGGUGACGGCCAAAACAGUGAUUCAAGACGGAAGCUGGAAUCGAAUAAAACAAACAGUUCCGGCUAACCAGUCGCCGGCGAACAGUGGGAGAACGGCUGGGAGAUGACGGUGGUUCAAACGGCGACGGGCUUUGCUGUUUCGCCGGUGGAACCGACUGUUGUUGACGGCUGUGGUCGCUUUUGUCGACGAUGGCCUUGCCGAUGACGGCUUUAUCCCACGAUAAGAGAUGGACAACGAAGGAGAGGUGGCGUCGGAGAUGGUGACCUCUCCGGUGAGAGGCCACGGGUUAGCCUGGGUUGGUUCGCCGCUAUUGAUGGCAGUGGCGGCGGCGCGACUGCAGAGAGGAAAGAGGAGGCUGGUUUAGCGUGGUUUGGUGGUUGUGAGGAGACGAAGAUGACGGCGAGUGUGAUGCCGGAAGAGGAAGAGCAUCCCGCCGACAGCAGCACUCAAUCGGAGCGGCGGCGAUGGCUGAUUUUCUUUUUUUUUUUUUU
rnacentral:lncRNA from 1 species